rnacentral:rRNA from 1 species
AUUGAACGCUGGCGGCAUGCCUUACACAUGCAAGUCGAACGGCAGCGGACCUUCGGGUGCCGGCGAGUGGCGAACGGGUGAGUAAUAUAUCGGAACGUACCUUUCAGUGGGGGAUAACGUAGCGAAAGUUACGCUAAUACCGCAUAUUCUGUGAGCAGGAAAGCAGGGGAUCGCAAGACCUUGCGCUGAUUGAGCGGCCGAUAUCAGAUUAGCUAGUUGGUGAGGUAAAGGCUCACCAAGGCGACGAUCUGUAGCGGGUCUGAGAGGAUGAUCCGCCACACUGGAACUGAGACACGGUCCAGACUCCUACGGGAGGCAGCAGUGGGGAAUUUU